rnacentral:tRNA from 1 species
GGAGAGGUGGCAGAGCGGUUGAUCGCGCCUGUCUUGAAAACAGGAGACCCUUCACGGGGUCCGGGGGUUCGAAUCCCUCCCUCUCCGCCA